UUUCUCUCUCCGCCGUGUUUACUUCCCCGUGGUGACGUACAGAGGGGGCGUAUUCCCCGGCGGCGGGUGGACGCGUUUGGUUGCGCUGCAGCACGGAGGUCGCAUUGCGAGAGCGGCUGUGAAUUGCCAUAGUAACCAUAGUAACGGCCGGUGAGGAAACCCAGCAGGAGGCCGGGAGGUAGCGGGGAGCAGCGUCCAGCCUGACAGGUGGGAGUCACGUGAUCAAGACAGGGCAGCCUGGCAUUGAAUCCAGACAGGGGGGCACACUGUGAUUAUACAUAGACUGCCAGCACUGACUGACUAUUAUGGGCUGUAUUAUACACUGAGUAUUAUGGGCUGUAUUAUGGGCUGUAUUAUACACUGAGUAUCAUGGGCUGUAUUAUACACUGAGUAUUAUGGGCUGUAUUAUACACUGAGUAUUAUGGCCUGUAUUAUGGGCUGUAUUAUACACUGAGUAUUAUGGCCUGUAUUAUGGGCUGUAUUAUACACUGAGUAUUAUGGCCUGUAUUAUACACUGAGUAUCAUGGGCUGUAUUAUACACUGAGUAUCAUGGGCUGUAUUAUACACUGAGUAUUAUGGGAUGUAUUAUGGGCUGUAUUAUACACUGAGUAUUAUGGGCUGUAUUAUACACUGAGUAUCAUGGGCUGUAUUAUACACUGAGUAUCAUGGGCUGUAUUAUACACUGAGUAUUAUGGGAUGUAUUAUGGGCUGUAUUAUACACUGAGUAUCAUUGGAUGUAUUAUACACUGAGUAUUAUGGGAUAUAUUAUGGGCUGUAUUAUACACUGAGUAUUAUGGGCUGUAUUAUACACUGAGUAUCAUGGGCUGUAUUAUACACUGAGUAUCAUGGGAUGUAUUAUACACUGAGUAUUAUGGGAUAUAUUAUGGGCUGUAUUAUACACUGAGUAUCAUGGGAUGUAUUAUACACUGAGUAUUAUGGGAUAUAUUAUGGGCAGUAUUAUACACUGAGUAUCAUGGGAUGUAUUAUACACUCAGUAUUAUGGGUUGUAUUAUACACUGAGUAUUAUGGGCUGUAUUAUACACUAUUAUGGGCUGUAUUAUACACUGAGUAUUAUGGGAUAUAUUAUACACUGAGUUAUGGGCUGUAUUAUACACUAUUAUGGGAUAUAUUAUACACUGAGUAUUAUGGGCUGUAUUAUACACUGAGUAUUAUGGGAUGUAUUAUACACUGAGUAUUAUGGGCUGUAUUAUACACUAUUAUGGGAUAUAUUAUGGACUGUAUUAUACACUGAGUGUUAUGGGGUGUAUUAUACACUAUUAUGGGAAAUAUUAUGGGAUGUAUUAUACACUGAGUAUCAUGGGAUGUAUUAUGGGUUAUGUUAUGAGAUGUAUUAUGGGUUAUGUUGUACCUGGGUACUGGAGGCACAUGUUACUUGCAUGAGAGCCAUGUUUACUGUAAGCUGCUUUAGAGUAGGUAGACUAGCCAUGAAUUAUAAUAUACCAUGCAUACCUGUAGCUGGGUCACACAUGAAAGGCAGUGUAUUUGUAACAAGCUGUGUUUGUGAAUGUAAUUCCAUAGACUAAGUUACUUCUCACCAGCAGAACAGUUUGAAGUAUUGGUUAUCCAUUUAGGACACGCCAGGCUGGAUGUUAUACAGAUUAUUAAUUACAGUUGCAAGAAAAAGUAUGUGAACCCUUUGGAAUGAUAUGGAUUUCUGCACAAAUUGGUCAUAAAAUGUGAUCUGAUCAUCUAAGUCACAACAAUAGACAAUCACAGUCUGCUUAAAACUAAUAACACACAAAGAAUGAAAUGUUGCCAUGUUUUUAUUGAACACACCAUGUAAACAUUCACAGUGAAGGUGGAAAAAGUAUGUGAACCCUUGGAUUUAAUAACUGGUUGAACCUCCUUUGGCAGCAAUAACUUCAACCAAACGUUUCCUGUAGUUGCAGAUCAGACGUGCACAACGGUCAGGAGUAAUUCUUGACCAUUCCUCUUUACAGAACUGUUUCAGUUCAGCAAUAUUCUUGGGAUGUCUGGUGUGAAUCGCUUUCUUGAGGUCACGCCACAGCAUCUCAAUCGGGUUGAGGUCAGGACUCUGACUGGGCCACUUCAGAAGGCUUAUUUUCUUCUGUUUAAGCCAUUCUGUUGUUGAUUUACUUCUAUGCUUUGGGUCAUUGUCCUGUUGCAACACCCAUCUUCUGUUGAGCUUCAGCUGGUAGACAGAUGGCCUUAAGUUCUCCUGCAAAAUGUCUUGAUAAACUUGGGAAUUCAUUUUUCCUUUGAUGAUAGCAGUCCGUCCCUGCCCUGACGCAGCAAAGCAGCCCCAAACAUGAUGCCCCCACCACCAUACUUCACAGUUGGGAUGAGGUUUUGAUGUUGGUGUGCUGUGCCUUUUUUUUUGCCACACAUAGUGGUGUGUGUUUCUUCCAAACAACUCAACUUUGGUUUCAUCUGUCCACAGAAUAUUUUGCCAGUACUGCUGUGGAACAUCCAGGUGCUUUUGUGCAAACUCUAAACGUGCAGCAAUGUUUUGUUUGGACAGCAGUGGCUUCAUCUGUGGUAUCCUCCCAUGAAAUCCAUUCUUGUUUAGUGUUUUACGUAUUGUAGAUUCGCUAACAGGGAUAUUAGCAUUUGCCAGUGACUUUUGGAAGUCUUUAGCUGACACUCUAGGAUUCUUCUUCGCCUCAUUGAGCAGUCUGCGCUGUGCUCUUGCAGUCAUCUUUACAGGACGGCCACUCCUAGUGAGAGUAGCAGCAGUGCUGAACUUUCUCCAUUUAUAGACAAUUUGUCUUACCGUAGACUGAUGAACAGCAAGGCUUUUGGAAAUACUUUUAUAAUCCUUUACAGCUUUAUGCAAGUCAACAAAUCUUAAUCGUAGGUCUUUCGAGAGCUCUUUUGUGCGAGGCAUCAUUCACAUCAGGCAAUGCUUCUUGUGAAACGCAAACCCAGAACUGGUGUGUGUCUUUUAUAGGGCAGGACAGCUGUAACCAACACCUCCAAUCUCAUCUCAUUGAUUGGACUCCAGUUGGCUGACAUCUUACUUUAAUUAGCUCUUAGAGAUGUCAUUAGUCUAGGGGUUCACAUACUUUUUUCCACCUGCACUGUGAAUGUUUACAUGGUGUGUUCAAUAAAACAUGGCAACAUUUCAUUCUUUGUGUGUUUCAUUAGUUUAAGCAGACUGUGAUUGUCUAUUGUUGUGACUUAGAUGAUGAUCAGAUCACAUUUUAUGACCAAUUUGUGCAGAAAUCCAUAUCAUUCCAAAGGGUUCACAUACUUUUUCUUGCAACUGUAUAUAGCUUAUUGGGGGGCUUAGCUAGUAAUGGGGCCUUCAAAACACUCUCCUACUACUACUGGGGCCUUCAAAACACUCUACUACUACUAGUUUGAUAUUAUUUUUAAUUAUGUCAGAAUUAUAGCAACAAAAAAAGGAAAACAAUAUUUCUUUUUUUUCUUUUUUGAAAGGUGUAAUUCUAAUCUAGGCUUGACUUGCUUUCACAACAUCAUGAAUGCUGACAUUACAACUUGAUAUACCUUACCACUAUAUUAUAUAAUGAACUCCACAGAGAAAUACAGAAAAGGUAAAAAAUACCAUUCAUUUUUUAAUUUCUUUGUAAUAUUUUUGGAAAGUAUAAAUGUGCAUGACAUUGAUGUAUAGCAGCAUUUCAUUUACCUAGUUUGCAGAGGAGUUCUAAAUAUUAUUUAAAAGGAAAGGGCCACCAGCUAAAGCCCUCUCUGUCACUUAAUACCAAGGGUAGGCAAUGUUGAGCACUCCAGAUGCUGCGGACUAUAUCUCUCAUUGAUGCUUUGCCAGCAUUACGGAAGAUGUAGUCUACAACAUCUGGAGUGCUAAAGAUUGCCUACCCCUGCUCUAUACUUACCUUGCUUCAAUAUCCUUUUCUCUUUUUCAUUCCUAAUUUAUUACUCCUAAAAUUCAUAAGGCAAAGUAGGGACUAUUUUUGCCUUAUGUAUUUUUCCUAUGCUUGGCAAAACACGACAAAAGACAGAGCAACCUGUAUUUCUCCUGAGGUUAUCUAUGUGUUUUUCUUUGUAUCCUGAACAAUUCUUCUGGAAGUUGUGGCUGACUUCUUUCUUGGUCUAUCUUACAUAGGUUUGGUAUCAAAAUAUCCCUGAAUUUUCCACUCCUUAAAGGACCACUCUAGGCACCCAGACCACUUCAGCUUAAUGAAGUGGUCUGGGUGCCAGGUCCAGCUAGGGUUAACCCAUUUUUUCAUAAAUAUAGCAGUUUCAGAGAAACUGCUAUGUUUAUGAAUGGGUUAAGCCUUCCCCUAUUUCCUCUAGUGGCUGUCUCAUUGACAGCCGCUAGAGGCGCUUGCGUGCUUCUCACUGUGAUUUUCACAGUGAGAGCACGCCAGCGUCCAUAGGAAAGCAUUGUAAAUGCUUUCCUAUGCGACAGGCUGAAUGCGCGCGCAGCUCUUGCCGCGCGUGCGCAUUCAGCCCAGGAGGAGGAGAAGAGGAGGAUCGGAGGAGGAGAGCUCCCCGCCCAGCGCUGGAAAAAGGUAAGUUUAACCCCUUUUCCCCUUUCCAGAGCCGGGCGGGAGGGGGACCCUGAGGGUGGGGGCACCCUCAGGGCACUAUAGUGCCAGGAAAACGAGUAUGUUUUCCUGGCACUAUAGUGGUCCUUUAAUAAGUGAAUGAACAGGCAUUUUCAAGGCUUUGUAUAUCUUUUUGUAUCCUUUUCCAUCUUUUUACAGAUCUUUUCUGCUACCCAUGGCUCUGUAUCUAGCCUGCUCAGUGCAUCCAUGUGAGCGCUAACAAACUCGGUGACUCUCUAUACACAGACACUUUAUAUAAAAUACCUUUUUUGCAUGAUCAGUCAUAUUUUCAAAAUCAAUGCCAAAAUUUCACAAUUUCUGCCAGGGUAAUCAAGUUUUUGAGCACAGCUGUAUAUGCCGAUCAUCUUCAAUCAGAAGGGCAAGCCAAUAAAUAUUUUCAUACUGAAGCCAGGAAGAUUAGUGUGUGAUUGUAAAUAGGCCCUAUUCGUACAAUAUUAACUUUAAAAAUGUGACAUAGUAGGAACUGUGUAAUAAUGCACCUCUGAGAGCAUCAUGACAGGUGUGUGCAGUUUUGAAAAAUAAGCUACUUGUCCAAUUGACUAAAGUAGUAGCCCAAUCUACUUGUGUGCAAUGACAAUCUAUCUGUCCUGACACAAAAUAAUUUCAGAUACAAAGAUUGGGACCCCUGCUAAAAGCCUUGGACAAUGAUAAGGCUAUGUACUAAACUCUGAAUUUUCAUAAAUUAAAUCUGAAUAGAAAAAUGGAGGCAAAAAUAACUCGUCUGGGAAAGUUUCCUAACUCUGCUAUAGUCACAUGUUUUAGCCUCUGUUUCCAUCAGAUUUAUUGUGCACAAAUGUAAAAUUUUAAUAGUGUUUCAGCAACUGAUCUCCCAUAGUCUCUCUCUUUAUCAUAGUGUGUGUGCUGGCUGUAUGUGAUUGUUUUCUGCAGGAAGAUGGGCUAUGAUCCCUAGGGGUUAACUCUGUUUGGUGGUCUAGUGGGGGUCCUGGGUGCUUAGUGAAACUCUGAACAUUGCACAUCCAGCUGAUGCAGAUAUACGUAAUCGCUCCCUCGUGGUUUUGGAAUCCAGUGAGUCAGACUGCAUGCUUGAAACAUGUGGCGGCUGAGGUCUGACUCAAUAGCGCGUGCUGGACCAUGAGUGAACCGGAGGUGCAUACCUCAUAUUACCUGCCUGGCACCAAAAUCUUCAGGGCUGCCUUGCGCUCAAGACGACCUGUCUGUCUGCGAAUCUGUUGUAAUGCCUGUCUCCAGUUGUUGAAUAUUGCAAUACCCUGCAUCAGGUGUCUGGUGAUAUCAUUUCCACAUCCAUGCAUCAAUCUAAUUGUGUUUUUUUUUUGUUUGAUUUUUUGUAUAGGGCCACUUAAAUUUUUGUUGACUCUCUAAAGCACCUGGACCGCUGUUCCCCAUGCUCUUCGGGAAGCGGUUACUUUGUUCAAAUUGUGUAUCUCCAAAUCAAAUGUACGUCUAGUCAGGAUUACAAUAAAAAAGCACCUAUCCUUCCUGACAAAGAAUCUCGCAGCUGUAUAAUGAAAAGGUUUUAAGGUUUUUUUGUUUUUUUUUCUUGCGCUUUACCAUAAUUACUUCUAUCUAUGUCAGUUCAGACUGGCUGCAUGAAGCAUUGACCUACUUCAAAUUACUCCAAGGCCAGCACAGAGACAAAAUGUAUUCCAGCCUGAUAUGUUGGUUACCAAUUCAUUUUAGAUCAACGUUUCCCAUGUGUUAACCAUUCUCAGGAAUGUAUUUUGUUAAAGACAUAUGUUUUUUUGUUUUUUGCAGAUCUUUGAUUCUGAAUAGACGUCGUGGUCUAUGGACCAAAGGAACAUAACUGUUGAAAAUAGAGUACAAAGCUACUUUCAUAUAUUUCCAGAGGUUAGUUUUAAUAUCUGUAACAAAUCUACUAUUACACACAAGCCAUUUAAGGUAGCUGUUACAUCUGACGCCUUAAUUAUUUUCAGUGUAGUGCAUCUGUUCAGCAUUUAACUUCUUAAAGGAGAAGUUGUUUUAAGCCUUUUAGCCACUGUAUUUAUCUGGAUGUUUUGACUGUAGCUUCUGAUUAAAGCAUGCGUGUCCAAACAUUUGGCUUCCACGGGCCACAUUGAGCGAAGAGGUAUUGUCUUGGGCCGCACAUAAAAUAUAUAAUAUCAUUUAUAUAAUAAAACUUUAAAAGCCGUUUUCUUAUUUUUGAUAUUUCAUUUGUUUAAUAGAAAACUCCCUUAUUUGUGAUGCUUAAUGUGGAAUUGCCAUAUUUUAGGAUACCAAAUUAGGGAGCUAUCAACUAAACAUUCACAUGUUCAUACAUAUACACAUAACCACAGAUAUAUACACACAUAUAUAAUCACAGGCCUAUACACAAGCAUACAUACACACAAUCACAGACAAAAAUUUAAAACCAGUUCUAUACACAAAAUCAUGCAGACGUACACACGUUUAAAAUCAGAUCUAUACACACACACACACAGAGUUGGAAGAGUGGGAAAAAACAAAAAAUGGUUGUGGCCAUGACAGUGCCGUUUUAAGCAGGCCUAGAUUUUUAUUUUAUGUUCAGCAGGCCGUUACUUUGUAGACCCAGCCAGGAUUCUGCGUCUAAUCCCUGAAGACCCACAGAUGUAAGAGUCGCCUCCCUGGGUUUCCCCUAUGUCUGUUUUCAAACCCCCAUUUGCUGCUGAAAUACAGGCCUCCAGCAGUUCAUCUGUCUCCAUAGCUGUAAAGUAUGUUUUCCCACCUCGGCUAAGUAUAAUAAAUUGUCUCAGCAGAUAUUAUGACAAUAUCCUGUUGAUUGCUAGUUUGGCUUUUGAUAAGUUUGUGCAGUUCGAGAAAGGUUUUAUAACUAUUCGCUAUAUUUGACCUUGGUCUCUCCUUUAUAUACUGCUUGGGCAUUACAAAUAAGUAUAUGCCGCCAUGUUUUUUUUAGGAAUAUAGAAAAUUAUAAAAGUGAGCUUCCAUUUGCUAUGUAGUAAGGAUUGUUUUGUAAUCGUGCAUAUUUAUUUUUUUGUGAACAUUUUUUUCAGAUCUCAGUGGAUAAUAUAUUAUUCUGUAUUUCUUUUUAAUUCUGAGCCGUUUCUCAGCAAUAUACAGAAUUCCUAUAGUGUGUUAUGUUACAGAGAACAUGCUAACAUGUCUGAAUAAGUUGUUACCAAAGUGACGUUCAGUGAAAACAAGAUAAGGAGAGAGUCGGAAGGUGCAUAGCAAGGAACACCAGUUGUCAUGGAAGGAAAUUGUGACCAUGUAGAUUUAUUAUGUACUUGAACUGUCUACGUUUGGGAUGGGGGUGGGAGUGGUCAUUGCCAAAAGUCAGCUGAUUUUUUUUUUGGAUUUUUUUUUUUUUUUUAAAUCUCAGUAUACUGAUAUCUGUAUCUACCAAGCAUCAGUAAUUUUGUUGUGUGUGUGUGUGUGUGUGUAUAUGAAGAUUUUAAAAUUCUGUUUUUUUUUUUUUGUUUUUUUUCUUAUAUGCUGAACUUUGAUUUCUACAGAUACAAUGUCUGCCCUGACUUUUCAUGGCUGCUUACGUGCAUUAGAUGUAAUCUUGGAUAACAUCCUUCCUCAUAGUUUCCUUUUUGUACAAUUUGUUACUUAUAAACGUUAACUUUUAGGGUGGGUGAGGUUGAGGAAAAGAUUCUUCUAUGGAUUAAUCUUUCAGUUUAUUUAAUUUGUAUAUCUUGGCAGAGAUAAAAUAUUAAUACAAUUUUAGGAUCAGCGGCAAGGAAACAAGCUUACAAAGUAAAAUUUAUGUUAAAGGGUUACUCUAACCAAAAAAAAACCCAUGUUUUUUUUAACCCUUGCUUGUCCUUUUGUUUAAAAAAACAAAACAAAACCCCCCCCAAAGAAAUCUUCAUUUCAAAUCUCACUGUACGAGAGACUACAAGCACCAUGACCACUUCAAAGCACUGAAGUGGCCAUGGUGCUUGGAGUAAUGUAACCCCUGAAUGUGCAAUAUACUCUUUCCAUUCUGUCAAUAGGAGUUUAGUUACAUCAAAUGUUUUAAAGUAAUUAAACUUUUGUUGCUGUCGUAUAGGGAGAAAAGGUAAAACCAAGAAAAGUGCAUUGCUUAUCUUAUUAACCCAGGUACCAUGUCAAACCAUUUGACAACACUGUAGUUAUGGUGUUUGGAUUGUUUUAUCUAUCUAGCGCUACUAUCCGCUCUACCUCGCAGGCUCGCUGCCUAUGUGUUCUCUUUGACUCCGACCUCUCCUUCACUCCUCUUGUCCAAUCAAUCGCCAAACCCUGCUGCUUCCAUCUCAAAAACAUAGCAGGCAUCUGACCCUAUUUAACGCCUGAUACGACUCAAGUGCUUGUCUAUGCCACUGUCCUCUCUCGCCUUGACUACUGUAAUCCGCUUCUCAUUGGUCUUACGUGUUCCCAAAUUCCCCCGUUACAGUCUGUAAUGAAUGCAGCGGCGAGGCUCAUCUUUCUGUCCACCCCAACUUGUUAAUAAUAUACACACAAGUGUGUGUCUGUCUGUGUGUGUAACACUGAAAAAUACUGCUCAACUGUCAAAUUUGAAGAACUAUCUCUUCUCUAGAACUUACACCAUUUAGUAAAAUAUUGAAAAUCACCUAUAACUUGUGUUAACCUUUUAUUUUUUGAGAUUCUGUGUUUUAUUUUAAAAUGAAUAAUUCUGCAUUUCACACAAAGCAAAGCCAGUACAAACCUUGUAAAUGAAAAGAAUACAUAUAAACAUUGGGGAAUAUAUAUUAUAGGGUUCUGAAAAGUAACUUCAUUAUUGGAAUGUAACAAUCACUGUUGGUGUGCAAAAAAGCAACAGAUGAAAAAUGGGACAGAUUUUAAUAAAUAUCACCUUAGACUUAAAGUGUCUCGGACCAGAUUCAGGAUAAAGAAAUCUGGAUUUCUACAUUUAAAGGACCACUCUAGGCACCCAGACCACUUCAGCUUAAUGAAGUGGUCUGGGUGCCAGGUCCUUCUAGGCUUAACCCAUUUUUUCAUAAUUAUAGCAGUUUCAGAGAAACUGCUAUAAUUCUGAAUGGGUUAAGCCUUCCCCCUAAUCCUCUAGUGGCUGUCUCAUUGACAGCCACUAGAGGCGCUUGCGUGCUUCUCACUGUGAUUUUCACGGUGAGAGCACGCAAGCGUCCAUAGGAAAGCAUUGUAAAUGCUUUCCUAUGCGACGGGCUGAAUGCGCGCGCAGCUCUUGCCGCGCGUGCGCAUUCAGCCGGCGGGGAGGAUCGGAGGCGGAGAGGAGGAGGAGAGCUCUCCGCCCAGCGCUGGAAAAAGGUAAGUUUUUACCCCUUUCCCUCUUCCAGAGCCGGGCGGGAGGGGGUCCCUGACGGUGGGGGCACCCUCAGGGCACUAUAGUGCCAGGAAAACGAGUAUGUUUUUUCCUGGCACUAUAGUGGUCCUUUAAUGUUAUUGUCCACACCUCAAUUACAUAUUUGUUAAACAUAGGGAUAAGUAAACAAUUAUAAAAUCAUGGAAUCAUUCCACUUAUUUUGUUUUAUUUUUGCAGUGCAGAGAUCAUAAUACAGGCUAGUAGGGACAUAACAGCAAGAAGAUAAAUGGCAGUAAAGAUUGCUAUAUAUGUAAACAAUGCAGUAAUUUUUUUCGUUAUAGAGCUUGUAAGAAGAUGUUUAGAUCUAUGAUAAAGUACAAGACAUACUGAAAAAGAUCUGUUUAAAAUGAAAGAUUACUUUAGAGACAAAACAAAGCUUUGCCAUAGCAUAAUAAUAUUUUAAGACCCAACAGCUUAAAUGCACAAGUAUGACUCCUCUGGAGCCAAUAGCUACGAGUGGCCAAGCCAUGUUAAGAAAAUAAAACUAAAUGUAUGAUACAAAGAAAAGACAAAAUGCAAACUGGUUGACUAAAGUUAUUCCACAUAGGCUCUCAUGAACCUCGAUUCACCCAAUUCUCAAUGUCCGACAACUACUCUUCGGCAAUGCCCAGCGACCCACACACUUAGCUGCAGCAGUACUUGACCCCAGGCCUUCCCACGAGCCAACAGGUCAGUCUUCUCUUAGUGUGCAAAUCAGCGUCCUUGGAGGGUCCACCAGGGCCAUCCCUUCCGGAAUGGGAGAGGUUGUCCCUCCAAGGCUCGCGGCCCAGGUAAGAAGCUGCUGGAAGUUGCCUCUUUGUUCGCCUGGUACUCUCUGCGCCUCACAGAAGAGUUCUGAUUUUUAGGUUGGUCUCUAUCCAAAUGGACUGCAACAGAUGUAGUUGCUGGAUAAUGAGUAUGUCAACCAUUUUAGGUAUGGUUGUCUGCAUUCUCUGUGAAUAGCAGGCUUGUCUCCAGUGGGGACUGGCAUAACUCCACUAGUCCUUGGGGCUCCUGUCUAUGCAAUGUAUUGAAAGGGUGGGAAGCUAGUUGCAUACCCUGCCACAACAGUUUAGUAGGCUUCAGUAGACAGGGGGCCUGAAAGAGUUGUGGCUGCCCUCAAAUACUGCAGUACAAACACGAGUUAGGGUGUCCUUGGUCAGAAAAGGCAAUUAUGGAACACCAAAUAAUUCUAGAUCUCUAGAUAUGUUUACCGUUUCAGUUGGCGGCAGAGCCCACCCCCUCAUCAGUUCUCCUUUAAAUCAUCUGCAGUUUUAUUUUUCUGGUAUUUUUUACCUGAAAUAUGCACAGAUUAAACUGUUGAUGUAUUUAAUUCAUGCUCCCCAAACAAACAUAUUUUGUUAGACCAUAUAAUUUAUUUUCUUUUUCUUAUGUAUGUGUACUUUUAACAAACCAAAACGGAAGACAUCAUAUAAAUAUACCCAGCUAUUCUUUGUCAUAUUUAUUUGUCAGAACAGUUUCCUUUUACAUUCUAGCUUGAAAGCUUAGUAUAAACUAAUUUAGAUGUGAACGCUUUUUAUUUAUUUUAUUUAUUUAUUUAUUUAUUUUUGGUUUGUUUUUUUGGUCAAAAAACCAGCAACAAAUAUUCCUGGUGUUGUUUUUAAUCCAUAAAGAGAACAUAUAAAUAGCAAUGACAAUGCUACAUAUGUCCUCAAAUAGCUGGUUUCCAAGUCCUUAAUAUUUUGGUAAUCACAAUGAGGAAAGUAAUGUAGCCUACAACACAUGGAUUUAGUUUUCAUUUUUAGGGGGAGAGGGUGCAGACUGCACUGUAUUUACCUGGAUGUCAUUGUCUCUACUUUGCAUUUUUAUGGUUUGUAUUCAGUUUUGUAUCUCUCAAGGUUGGUGUUUAAAUGUUCCUAGAAUGAUAAAUAUUGGAGGGGUACCCUCAAUGGCGCACAGAUUGUCAGCCAGUCUCAAUUGGCUCAGCAAUAUCAGGCUACCUGUUGAAAUUGCCUCUUUUUUUUUUUUUUUUUAAAUAUUACUUAAAAAUAAGACUUGUGUCCAUUUAAGUUCAGCUUUUCUCAUGUCAGUUUUGGUGUUGAUCAAGUUUGAAGCACUUUUCAAUUCUGCAACAAACUAGGAAACUCUUACUUCUUAACCCCAGAAUGGCAGUCAGGUCUCUCCUUGGAUCAAGUAGCUAUUACCUCACUUAUUAAAAAUGAUAUCGCUGAACAUUAUAUUUCUUUUCCAUUAAAAUAUUUAUUGAUUUUAUAAAAUAAUCAUGGGGUACAGAAAGGAAAAAGGGGGAGGAAGAGCGCUGUCAACACUCAAGAGAAAAUGAACAUUUUACAUACAGAGUUCAUGCAGAGAACAUACCACAACCGUGUUUCGUUCAUUUGACACAGGAGGUCAAUUAGCAAUGUGGACAGAAAUCGCAUUGUAGACACCAUAACCGUGAGUAGGUUCACUUAUGUCAACAGUACAACAACAAUACACCUUGCUCGAGAACAGGAGCAUGCAUCGUCAGCGCAUUACCAAAUGGAAGCAUACUUUAAAGAAUACUUUAAAAUACAGGGUUGCAAUGCGACAUACAACUAAUCUCCCCGAGUCCCACAUGUCCCAUGCAUUUAGAGAACCUUGUGUGGGGGGGGGAAAUAGUUUCUUCAGGUCUUUCUCGUACAAACAUUGUUUGUCUAAUUCAGUGAGUAGCCUCCGCAGAGGUGGUACCAUCGUUAAUUUCCAGGCCUGUGCAAUGAGCCUCUGUGCUGUUAAUGGUACGUGCAUCGUUAUUUUCUGUUUGAUCUCUGCGGGCAGGUCUUGUAGUAAAAAGUGCUCCGGAGUUAGAGGUAUCUUACACCCAGUCACUGCUUGAACGGUGUCGUGCACACUUUUCCAAAAGGGCUGGAUUGUUUGACUGGUCCACCAUGUGUGGAGGGUAGUACCUUCUUCAGUUUUACAGCGCCAACAAGAGGCAGGUGUGUACGGGUACAAUUUAUGCAGUCUACUGGGUACCAUCUAUUGGCCGUUUUAUAGUGCUGUUCCAUAUGGGCAGAAGAUUUUAUCAGCUGUCUGGGUAGUUUAAAAAUGCUUUCCCAUGUAGCAGAGGAAAGUGUGCAUUGUAGUUCUCUCUCCCAUUGCUGUGCCAAGCUUGAGGUGGUAAAGGGUGUGUGGUAUGAGAGUGUACGAUAACUCGUGGAGAUCGGUUUACAAACUGGUGGUAAUGAGCCAUUGAUACAAAUUUGUUCCCAGGUUGUGAUUGCAGUAGCUAAAGUAUCAGGGAUGUCCUUUUUGUGGCAUUGUUUAGCCUCAGUUGAACAUUGGAGUACUGGAAGAACCUGGACAAUGAGUAUUUCUUCUCCAAGGCUGCCUAGUCCAUUGGGAAAUUUUGAAAGGGGAGGAGAGAAAACCCACCUGGAGCACCUCUAGCGUGGGGCUAGAAUACAAUGCAAAAAUUUGUUUUAUCACUUAAGCGGGAAAGCCAUAGGACCCCAAAGCUCCUUUCAGGAAGGGACAACCAAGGCAGUCGAACGCCUUUUCCGCGUCUAAAGCUAGCAAGAGACUGCCCUGCCUAGACCCCCUCAGCUUUCUGGGCACCACGGAAAAUUUACGGGUGUUGUCUAGCCCGUUUCGACCAGACACAAAUCCUGUCUGGUCGUCCCUAAUAAGUGUAGGUAGGAUCGGUGCUAGUCUGUUCGCCAGUAUCUUGGCGUACAGCUUCGUGUCUGUGUUAAGGGAUAUGGGACGAAAAUUCUUGCAAGUAUCUGUGGGUUUACCAGGCUUAGGGAGGGUCACUAUGGUGGCCAGCAACAUCUCCGAAGACAGGGCACCCCCUCCAUCGCUCGCUGGUAAGUCCUAAGUAAGUGCGGGGCCAAUGUCUUAGUAAAUUUCUUGUAAUAUAAGUUAGUGAGCCCGUCCAACCCGGAGUGACUUGCCAGCCGGCAGCCCUUGGGUGGCUUUAACAUUAUGUUUUUAAGUAUUCAUCCAGUUACUGUUUAAACAUCUGUACAGACUCUGAUGAAACCACCUCUUCCAGCAGAGAUUCCACAUCCUUCUUGUUCUUACUGUAAAAAAACCUUUCCUUUCCCAUUUGGUUUAAGACGCUGCGCUAUCUUGGCCACACUCCCUGCUCCAUCCAUACAGUGUUUUACCUCAAAUACACCUAAUUUUUACACUUUUCAGAUGAUAUACCUGUAAUUUUUAACCUUUACUCCUCACACAUUCGUUUUUAAAGGACAACUAUAGUGCCCUGAGGGUGCCCCCACCCUCAGGGUUCCACUCCCGUGGCGCUGAAGGGGAGGAAGGGGUUAAUCCCUUACGUUUUUCCAGCGCCGGGACUCUCCUUCCUCUUCUUCCGCCAUUGGCUGAAUGCGCAUGCGCGGCAAGCCAGUCUCAUAGGAAAGCAUUAGCAAUGCUUUCCUAUGGACGCUGGUGUCUUCUCACUGUGAAAAUUAUUAUUAUUAUUAUUAUGAUAUUUAUAGAGCGCCGUCAAAUUCCGCAGCGCUUUACAAUGGGUGGACGAACAUGUAGUUGUAACUAGACAAGUUGGACACACAGGAACAGAGUGGUUGAGGACCCUGCUCAAUGAGCUUACAUGCUAGAGGGACUGGGGUAAAGUGACACAAAAGGUAAGGGUAGUAUUAGACUAGUGACAGUUGCAGAAGAGGAAUCAGUCAGGAGCUAUUAACAAUUUUUUUUGGAGACUGGGUGAGCAUCUAACAGAGGAGGGAAGCGAGUUCCACAGGAACGGUGCAGCCCUCGAGAAAUCUUGAAGGCGAGCAUCAGAGGUGGGAGUACGGACAGAAGAUAGACGUAAGUCUUCAGCAGAUCGUAAGGGCCUAGACGGGACAUACUUGUGUAUAAGGGAGGAUAGAUAGGUGGGAGCAGCAUUAUGUAGAGAUUUGAAAGCAAGAACCAGAAUUUUAAAUUGAACUCUAUAUUUUAUAGGAAGCCAAUGUGGGGACUGACAGAAGGGUGAGGCGUGGGAGGUGCGGGCGGACAGGAAGAUGAGCCUCGCCGCCGCAUUCAUUAUGGACUGUAACGGCGCAUGUUGGGUGCACGUAAGACCACCGAGAAGCGGAUUACAGUAGUCAAGGCGAGAGAGGACAGUGGAAUGGACCAACACCUUAGUCGCAUCUGGCGUUAAGUAGGGGCGGAUGUGCGCAAUGUUUUUGAGAUGGAAAUUACAGGAUUUGGCGAUAGAUUGAACAUGAGGCUUGAAGGAGAGGUCGGAGUCAAAGAGAACACAUAGGCAGCGAGCCUGCGUGGUGGAGCUGAUGGUAGCACCAUGAGAAAAUCACAGUGAGAAGCGCCUCUAGUGGCUGUCAAUGAGACAGCCACUAGAGGCUGGAUUAACCCAUAGGUAAACAUUCUCUGAAACUGCUAUGUUUACUGCAAAAAGGGUUAAACCUAGCUGGACCUGGCACCCAGACCACUUCAUUAAGCUGAAGUGGUCUGGGUGCCUAUAGUGGUCCUUUAAUUCAAUUCUAUGUAUCCUGUAUGGUAAUUAUUUGCUAUAAUGUGACUGAUGUCUCAUGACCCCAAAUUUUUAAUUUUACUCCGCUAUAAAAGCAGAUAAUGUCCAGGUUUCUAUAACACACUUUGAAAAAGCCCAUGCAAUAAGGCAAAAUGCGUUGGUGUGAUUUAUUUUAUUUCUUGUUUUUAGGCUUGAGGCCUAAGCCAUAAAGCAGUCACUCUAUGCAUUACAUUUUUGUUACUGUUCCGAAUUGGCAGGGUGGACUGGAAUGUAUGAUAGUGAAGCCUUAGAUCUCUGGGUUCUGGACGAUAAUAGUGGUUAUCACCCCAUGGCUGGAUGUAAACUACAUUUGGAUAUAUACCAAAAACCUGCGUGCGUCCUCAGGCCAUCUCAUGCUGUACCACGUAGUGUCAUUUUGGGCCUGCAGAGAGAAUGGUAAACUCCAUUUACAGUGGAUGCCUUUUUGUAGCGCAGUGCUCCUUUUUUGCUAGGCCUCUGAUUCUUAUGUUACACCUCCUACUUCUAUUGUCAAUGUCCGAAGCCUUAGAUCUCUGGGUUCUGGCCGGUAAUAGUGGUUAUCAUCCCAUGGUUGGAUGUAAAAUACAGUUGGAUAUAUACCAAAAACCUGCGUGCGUCCUCAGGCCAUCUCAUGCUGUACCACGUAGUGUCAUUUUGAAACAAUUUUGACCCAUUUAACCUGGUCCUACAUAAUACAGUCCUGGAGGACUUUGUAAUUGAAAGGGCACACAGGGCAUUGAGGUCUCCAGAGUUCCAAGAGCAAGUGGCCCUGCUUCGAACAGCCGUAUCUACUUGUUGUUGCCUGUGGUCAUACCUCUCGGUGGUCUCUUCUAGGCCUGUGAUUCUGGCGUCAAGCCAUGUAAUAUCCAUUCGGAUCUCCGCCACCUAAUGGUGUCUUUAAGUUCCUGGAGCAUCUACUGAAAGUAGAAGAAAACAAAUAAAACAAAAUCCAUACAGAUGAAACAGGAUUUCACCUGCUUUAUAUGGCAGACACCUUGGGAGUUGGCAGAAACUGGUCAAGCGUGUGGGAUGGAGGCGAGCUCAUCUAGGAGAUGUGUAGGGAGCUCAUCUUUUGGUUUCAAAUCAUCUUUAUUGGAGUUAUUUAGGUGCGUAAGCUGCUUAAUGCCGGGUGGGGAUGUGGAGCUCACUUACAGCAUGUAUUGCUCAGCUGCCAUCCAGAUCACGCCCCCCUAAUUCCCAAUGCUGUAUUAUUACUUUAACUAUUUUCAUAAUUGGCCCCUCCCCUUCUCACCUCCCCCAAUAAUAAGGAAAAAAUAUAUUUACUCUCCUGGUGCAGGUCUCACUGCGACCACCCAAUUUUGAUAAUCAGUCCUGAUGAUCUCAGCCAAUCUCGUGCUUCCCUAUAGGAAAGCAUUGGGAGGCUAUUGCACAUGUGUGGCAAAUCAGCAUCUCCUUAUAGAGAUGCAGUGAUCAAUGCAUCUCUGUGUGUAGUGUUCAGCGUCUCCAUGCAGAGUGGAGACACUGACUGUUGGUCCUGUAGUGUUUGCAGGGCUCUACCAGGAAGCCCCUCUAUACUAGAGUUGGUGUUGGACAGCAGUGUAAACACUUUUUAAGUUAAUUAUUUUUCUCAGGAAAGGCAGUGUUUACACUACUGGGGCUGCAGAAUCAAACUGUGUGGCCUGAAACCACUACAUUAAGCUAUAGUGGUAGGAUAACAACUUGCCUUUAAUCCUUUGAGGUUUAGCUUGUAUUUGGCUUGUUUAAAUGUCAAAUAUAUUUAUAAUUUUCACAAUUGUUAUUUUUUUUAUACAAAUAACAUUUAGCUUCCAUGUGUUUACUUUUAGAUUGUGCGUGUGAUUACCAGCUGCCCAGACAAUGGUAGACAUUGGAAAGUGGCCAAUAUUUGCUCUUUGCCCGCAAGAGGACCUGAAGUUUAUCCAGCAAGCCUGUGUGUUUGGUGCUGGAAAUGAGGUUUUAUACGUAACGAAGAAUGAUGAGGUAAAAACAUUUGUGAAAUUAACAGAUGCUAUGCACUUUGCACUUUCUUCUACUCUAUGAACAAACUGCAGCUUUGUAAGGACCUACUGGUUCAAGAUUACACUAAAGAAUUGAAUGAAG